rnacentral:rRNA from 1 species
GUAGGUGGCAAGCGUUGUCCGGAAUUAUUGGGGCGUAAAGCGCGCGCAGGCGGUUCUUUAAGUCUGAUGUGAAAGCCCACGGGCUCAACCGUGGAGGGUCAUUGGAAACUGGAGAACUUGAGUACAGAAGAGGAAAGCGGAAUUCCACGUGUAGCGGUGAAAUGCGUAGAGAUGUGGAGGUACACCAGUGGCGAAGGCGGCUUUCUGGUCUGUAACUGACGCUGAGGCGCGAAAGCGUGGGGAGCAAACAGGAUUAGAUACCCUGGUAGUCCACGCCGUAAACGAUGAGUGCUAAGUGUUAGGGGGUUUCCGCCCCUUAGUGCUGCAGCUAACGCAUUAAGCACUCCGCCUGGGGAGUACGGCCGCAAAGGCUG